rnacentral:lncRNA from 11 species
UGAUGGAGACACUGCCCUGCCAUUCUGUGCCAUCGUUCACACUCUCUUGCGCAAUGUUGGCUGUCUACAAUCUCAGCAAAAUCAAGCCACCUCUUGAUCGUGAGUUGGAAUCGUGCAUCCUGCGGCUGGCUCUCCAUGGUAUUUUCAGCAUGGAAACAGAACCAGAGAAUUCUCACAGUCAGGCUCUCUACAAAUCAUCCUCAGACACAAUGGAAACUAUGCUGAGGGGAUUGUUGUCUGAGGUUCCAACCACAAGCCACCUACUAUUUAUAUUGGAGCACAUCAAUUUCUGGAUUCAUUCACACGAUGUCCAAGAGAGAUCGAGGGCUAUUAAAUGCAGCACUUCAUUGCUUCGCCAUGCUAUUCGUAUACCAGAUUUUGAAAAAUCUGGUGAACUCCCUGCUUUGGGACACCAAGUUGCCCAGUUUGGAGUCUGUAUUUCAGAUUCAAUGGAAGAGGUGAGCUAUUCUGCCAGAGAGGCUAUUAGGUACCUAUAUCUGCUGCUACUUCAUCAAAUGGGGCUGAGCACGGGGGAAACUGGAAAACUGUGGUGCCAGACGCCAGAAAAUAAGAAGAUGCUGGAUUAUCUAGACAUCCGCAGAGUGGGUGAGUUAUUUGGGAAGAUCUUCACAGAGGAUCAGAAGAAGACCUUUCUGCGGACGUCUUUGCUGGCCACAUAUGAUCCCUUGAGGAGGAAAAGUGAAGCUGGGAUUCUCCUGGUAUAUUCCCUUCUGGGGAAGGCAGAGGAGUUAAUGGGGGAUACGUCAAGGGUAAUAGAAAAGAAGAUCUACAAGCAGCUGUUCAAACUUCGGACGCUCCGGGAAAUGCCAGUAGCCUUGCAAAGCCUCAUUCCAAAUAAAGGUCAGUACAGACUCAAGGAAGAAGCCAUAGCUCAAUGAAACAGCACAGAUUUCUAUUUACGUUGAGGAUGAGAAAUAUGUAGCUCUCUAGAUCAGGGUUCUUCAUUUUUUUCUACUUGUGACCCCUUUUGGCCUAAGUGACCUUAGCUGUAUAGGCAUUUUAAAAUAUGUAUAGAAAUCAAAUACUUACUGAUAACAAAUCAGCAAACAAACUGAUUUCCCUUUUUAUGAAGCAUCGCUGAAGCAUCUUCUGCAGAGUCCACUGUAAACAUUGCACAACAGAUUCAUGUAAAUGUCUAAAAAAGCCACUUUUACAUUAAAACCUUUUACAGUAAGAACCUUAUACUGUUACC